rnacentral:snoRNA from 1 species
UUGCAGUUUAAGAAAGUUCAUUUCUACUACAGAUGCAAGAAAAAGAAGGUUCUCACGCUUUCUGUCUGCCUGGUUGUGGCAGCCAAGAUUGAAUGGGGGAAUACAGGA